ensembl:lncRNA
CACAAAUUUACCUUUCCCCUCAAGGGCGCAAUGCUGAGCACUAUAUCACUGGGCUUUCUGGAGUCACUCCAUUAAAAUAAUCCCCUGUCAGCGUCAAACCCCUUCCGGACCUGUUAUAGGAGUUUAAGGGCACAGAGUUUUUCUUUCCAGCAAUGUUAUGAGAAAUUAUUUGUUUGCACUGAGGGAAACACUUCUUCUGGUGCCUGGCUGAAACCAAAGGCUGUUAUUAUUUCCACAGAUGCGAUCAUCGACUCAUCAUAUUCUGCUACGGUCCCUUUGACAGCCUGAUAAAAUUGGAGACUGUUCCUGUAGCCUUGCACCGAGGCUUCAGGAAGGGAGCAGAGAAGCGGACAAAUUGGACCCAUCAUUUUUCAAGCAUGCAGUGACAUCCCCGUCGACCAAUUUCACUUCAAUAGCCUCUCUCAGGGAUCAUUGAUAUCUGCAUUAGAGACCUUUGUUAAAGGUCUCAUCUAAAUGCAUUGAAAAAUGCCUCGCUCUCCUGUGUACUUCCAGCUGAAAAGGCGAGGGGGGUCUGGCUGUGUGUACUCACUGAGAUUUGCCGACUUGGCUCUGUCUACAUUAAGGUUUGUUUGCAGCCAGACAAUGUAGUGUCCCUGAACUCUAGAGAAAACUACAGGAGAAAAACAACUACUGCAGAAGCAAAUGGCAGGGUUUCUGGAGGGACAUUUGCACAGUGAGUUCUUAUUGGAACAUAUGACUAGUCCUCCAUCAUGUCUAUGGCACUGGUCCAUCAAUCUCAGUUUCACUUGAAUGUUCACUAUUUCGUUGUUAGAAAAAAACAGAGAAAGUAAAUCUUCAGCUCUCUGCAAUAAAGUCUAAACUAGGCAAUUGGAUGGGGAGUACAAUUUUUGCCCUUCAGCUAAGUCUUAAUUCUUAUCACUCUUAAACUUACAGUAGAACAAAACGCAAUAGAUGUAGUCAUCACCUGUGCACUGGAUUGGUGUCACUGCUGAUCUUCGCUUUCAAUGCAACAAGCUUAAAUUUCCACGUUAAUCAAAGGUCUCGUGGCGAGUAUCCCUCAACCUUUUGAAUCAAAGACACACAGUUGUCCCCAAUAAUAGCCCAUAAAUUUUUCAUCUGUGUGUGAUUAACUGGAUAACGACUAAGAAUGAGGAUUUAUACAUAUAUAAUAUUUUAGAGAACUUUAGAGAAAUGCCCAUUGAGGUAUUAUGUAUUUGUAUUUUGUUUGUGUGCAAUUUUUAGUACAAAUGUUUUCUAAAUCACCCUGUGAAAUGUCUCAACUUUUACCGGACGACAACUGCCAGACCCUACUGCCAUGCACAAACCUAUAUCUUUAAUAUGACACCGAACUCUGGAAUCGCUCUGAAUGAAAAAUCAGCCCAAGGGGGUCAGCGACAGAAAGAAAUAGGGUUUCAGAUCGGGUCAAGCAAAGCAUACAACACUCCAUACAGAAGUACGGGCAAGGCUUUCGUCUAUUUUCAACCCAUCGUUAUUCCUCAUAAAUUCCAAACUAGCCUCUGACAGCAUGACUGAUGAGCCUGCUAUUGUGAAUGUCAAGAGAAAGGGUCUCUCAAUCUAUACUAUAUCGCUGUUUCUCAUUGUGUAUGAGACUUAAGGUUUAUGGAGGAAUAUGGCCAUUUUGAUGAGCAUUACUCGCUGGGUACCAAGGGCACACUGAUCUUCUGUCAGAUGAGAUAAGAGCCAAGGUACAAUUCUUAUACCCCUGCUUUAGUCUUAUUCACAACAGAUUCAAAUGUCCAAAAUAUCAUUAUAUUUGAUGCACUAGUUUACAGUAAAAAUGGAAUUUAUAUUGAGGGCCAGGUUUAAUACUUUUAUGUCUUUCCUAAUUUUACAACAGGAUUUUAUAUAGAAUAGAAUUAUUAGCAUAGGAC